rnacentral:rRNA from 1 species
UACGGGGGGAGCAAGCGUUGUUCGGAUUUACUGGGCGUAAAGGGCUCGUAGGCGGCCAACUAAGUCGGAUGUGAAAUCCCCAGGCUUAACCUGGGAACUGCAUCCGAUACUGGAUGGCUUGAAUCCGGGAGAGGGAUGCAGAAUUCCGGGUGUAGUGGUGGAAUACGUAGAUAUCCGGAGGAACACCAGCGGCGAAGGCGGCUUUCUGGUCCGAUUCUGACGCUGAGACGCGAAAGCGUGGGGAGCGA